GCUUCACACGGUGUGUCUUUUUACAAUUUAUAUGUUACCAUUGACGCAUACGUUCCACUGAACAGCGCAGCUUAGGCGAUAUCUAGUCAUUAUUUAUCUAUGGAAAUGUUCUGCUUGUCAUCCCCUGCAUUUGGGUCAACUUUCCGGAAUCCAUUGCGACGUUAACUUAUAGGCUUACUCAAUCAAUAACUCAUGUAAAACUGUGAUCUUGUAUGCUAGUAAAUGAUGUUUUAAUGAAAAGUAAUAAUAAUAUUUUUUCCGUUUUUCUCUAUUUUUAUUUGUGGUUUUAAAGCAUUGACGCCUCUAGAGAAGAUGGUUCCUUCGGCCGCUUGGUGAACGAUGACCACAGACAUCCCAAUGCCAGGAUGAAGAGAAUAGACAUUGCAGGAAGCACACACCUCUGUCUCUUUGCUCUCCAAGACAUAAAAGAAGGUGAAGAAAUUGCAUAUAAUUAUGGAGGAGAGGACUGCCCAAGCAGAUGACUACAUGUGAACCUGAGACGUCCUGUGUGAGCUCCCAGUCUGUGCUCAUGUCAGAGCCACAGUGGGAUGAAGCUGCCUGGUUAGAGGACACUGGUCACCAGAUGACUACAUGUGAACCUGACACGCCCUGUGGGAGCUCCCAGUCUGUGCUCAUGU